GGAAUAAGCCACGGCUAAUUCCGUGCCAGCAGCCGCGGUAAUACGGGAGUGGCAAGCGUUAUCCGGAAUUAUUGGGCGUAAAGCGUCCGCAGGCGGCCCAGAAAGUCUGUUGUUAAAAAGUGGAGCUCAACUCCAUCCAGGCAAUGGAAACUACUGGGCUAGAGUGUGGUAGGGGCAGAGGGAAUUCCCGGUGUAGCGGUGAAAUGCGUAGAUAUCGGGAAGAACACCAGUGGCGAAGGCGCUCUGCUGGGCCAUAACUGACGCUCAUGGACGAAAGCUAGGGGAGCGAAAGGGAUUAGAUACCCCUGUAGUCCUAGCCGUAAACGAUGAACACUAGGUGUCGGGAGAAUUAUCCCUCUCGGUGUCGUAGCCAACGCGUUAAGUGUUCCGCCUGGGGAGUACGCACGCAAGUGUGAAACUCAAAGGAAUUGACGGGGGCCCGCACAAGCGGUGGAGUAUGUGGUUUAAUUCGAUGCAACGCGAAGAACCUUACCAGGGCUUGACAUCCUGCGAACCCCUGAGAGAUCGGGGGGUGCCUUCGGGAACGCAGUGACAGGUGGUGCAUGGCUGUCGUCAGCUCGUGUCGUGAGAUGUUGGGUUAAGUCCCGCAACGAGCGCAACCCACGUCUUUAGUUGCCAGCAUUUAGUUGGGCACUCUAGAGAGACCGCCGGUGAUAAACCGGAGGAAGGUGUGGAUGACGUCAAGUCAUCAUGCCCCUUACGUCCUGGGCUACACACGUACUACAAUGCUACGGACAAAGGGCAGCAAACUCGCGAGAGCUAGCAAAUCCCAUAAACCGUGGCUCAGUUCAGAUCGUAGGCUGCAACUCGCCUACGUGAAGGAGGAAUCGCUAGUAAUCGCAGGUCAGCAUACUGCG
rnacentral:rRNA from 1 species